UUUAGUUUGGUCUACACUAUAAGUUAAAAUAGUUGGCUUUAGGGAAAUUCCUAACCAUUAGUGAAAUCUUGGUAUACUAUUAAAGUUCAGAAAACUAGGGAAAACUCUUGCUUUACAAUUUAUCAUUACUACUUAUUUCUUGGCAAAUGGCAGUCUUUUUAGAUAGGCUGUUUAACAGGGCUUGCUUCUGUGUGUCUAGCCACACACUCUUACUGCUGCUGAUAGUUGUUUUCCCCAUUCCUCCUCAUAGGAAACCAAUUUUUAUAUAACUUCUGAAAUCUAUUUCUACACUCUAGUGCCAAGUUGAGUGUGGCCCUGGUGGGGACAGAGUGAUAUGGUUCCUGCCCCUGAGACAGGUCCUCCAGUGUGAGCCUCCAUGAGUGUCGAUGGCUGCUGUGGCCAGAAACUGGAGACAACCUAGACGUCCCUCAACAGAAGAACGGAUAAAGAAAAUGUGGUACAUUUACAUCAUGGACUAUCACUGUUAAAAACCAUGGCAUCAUGAAAUCUGCAUGUGGAUAGAACUAGAAAAGAUAAUCCUGAGUGAGAGUCCUUUGAAAACAGCACAACGGUCUCUGGCCACUGCACACUCCUGAGCCUGCUGCCCAUCACCUUAUAAUCAAGCUUUCUACAGUCUGCUCUGUGAGUCGAAGUGAUCUCAAGGACCUGGGAGCUGGAGGGAAGCCUAGAGCAUCCCAACAUCAUUUCCCGGGUUGCACCUCCAGCCUCAGAUGAAGCAGACCCUGUGAAUGAAGAACAAGAUGAAGCAGACCCUGUGAGUGAAGAACAGGGGAAGCUAGGCUGAUCUUGUGAAGAAACGGCACCAUGAAUCGUACCUGAGCAGUUCACACCGGUUCUUAUCCAUCUCAUCAUAUACGGUUUUCUUCAAAAUUCGGCUUAAGUGAAGAGGGAACCAGCACAGGGCGAAGAUGACAACCAAGCAGAACACGGUCUUUGCCACUUCUCGACGCUAAGGGCAAGUGCAUGCAAACAAGCAUAAAGAUACAAUCUGACUGUGCUUUACCGGUUCAACACACACAAUUUGAGCAAAGGAAAGAGCCACGUUACCUGUCCACACUGAGAGCGCAGAGAUUCAGGACGGUGAUGCCCACAGAGGACUUCUGCAAAAAGGGGAACAGCUUGCAGAGAAACACUCCGAAAUCAUUGUGGUCGAAAGGCCAGCGCCCUGCCAACAGCUGCAAAGAGAAGAUGGGGGUAAGAAAGGGAGAGGCAAGCCUUGUGCAGCCCGCUCAUAGCCCCAGUGUGAACACAUGGCCACACCCUUAGCUUUCAA